AUGGACGACUGAGACUGGUUCCAGCUGUGAGGAACUGCAGAAAGGCUCGACUUGGUGGCUGUUGGCUCCGAAAGGAUGAAUGUGAAAUUUUGGCCUCGGCUCUGAAGUCCAACCCAGAUCUGACUGAACUGGAAAUAAGUUGGAUCAACAUAGAUGGAGGUGGAGACUCUGAUCUGAAGCCUCUGGUUGAGAUCCUGGAGAGUUCAGUCAGUAAAGUGAAGAUUCUGAGAUUGUGGGGCUGCAGUUUGUCAGAGACCAGCUGGACUUCUCUGUUCUCAGCUCUGAAGUCCAAACCGACCCAUCUGACAAAACUGGACCUGAGCAGAACCAACCUGAAAGAUUCUGGAGUGAAGGAGCUCUGUGGUUUUCUACAGACUGAAGGCUGCAGACUGGAGACAUUGAAAUUGUUUGACUGCAGUUUGUCAAAGAUCAGCUGUGAUUAUUU